GAGUUAAGAUGGGAAUUCCAAUUACAAUAGAAAUACAACUUAUAAUAAAGAAAAACAAUUUGAGAAAGGAAAAGUAGCAUUCGUCUUCUUUCUUCUGUAGGGCUCACGAACAGUUUUGAACUUAACAUCACUUGCUACAGCGUUAUCAAUGAUUUGCUGCGGGGUAUUAAUUCCAGAACGGCUCCAGAGCUCAGUAGAUUGUUCGCACAGAACCAAGCAACGACCCACCGUUUCAAUUUCAAUUUCACUUAUUCGGUAGAUUAGGUUUGCAAUAUGAAACCUCUCAUGGAGUUUUGAACAGAUUGGAAUGCCAUUGUGCAUGAUUUUCCAUAAGAAAAAUUUGAUCUUUUGUUGGCAUUAUAAGUUCCAUAUUGAGCUCCAUAGGCAUUGCUGCGCACACUAUGUUGGUAGCAUAUUCAGCAGAGGCUGAAAAUAUUGAUGUGCCACUGUGUAACCCGAAACUACUGAAUAACUCCGAUUUUUCA